rnacentral:lncRNA from 13 species
CACGCUACACAGUUAAUUACCACAGGUGGUCGCCUUCAUCUCCGCUAAACACGUGCUGCAACGUGGAGAUACGGCCGUGUGGGAAGACUAAACACUAUAAAUACUGGGAAUGGGAAUAUUGGAUAUGUCAUCGGUCCCAAUGAUAUGCUGUCAACGGUGUGGGCAGGCUGCUUAAACAUUUAGAGUAGCCUGGUUGUGUGGAUUUCAUAGCCUAUGGCACCGAGGAAUAACGGAGUAAGGAGCGGCUUGCACCUGAAUAACGAAAGCCUACAAACGGUUGUCAAUGGACACUGAUAAGACGCGUCAUGAUAUCAGACACCCAGAAAUGUUUGGCGAUCGACUAGAAAUGCCUUGGAGAUCGAGAAUUCGCGAUCGACUGGUUGGUGACCACUGGGAUAUGGCAACCGACUCUAGACGAAAUUCGAGAAGUGAAGUCUGGGGAAUUGCAUCUGCGAAAGCCGAAAGUUGGACACUAAAUGUGGUUUUCCAACAGCAAGGCUCAGAUCAACAUGGCAGUGUUGCCAUUAUUUAAAAAAGGUUUUCUUUAUAAUGUUGAAAUAAACAUGUAUCUAACCCCCAUAGCACACACUCAUCAACUGAAAUCAUAAUAUAAUAUUAUGUGUGUAUAUUGUACAGUCAAUUAGUGAGAGAGAACCUCAAAUAUCCCAUUUAUUUGUAUACUGUAAAACUUAAAUUACACACAGCCUCAAAUAGCCCCCUGUCCCUUUUCAUAGCCAGCAGGGCAACUUAACACAUUAGAGCAAAGGUCUAAAUUAAUGGCUUACUAGUUUACCAUAAAUGUUUUAAGGUGUAAUGUUUGAUUUGUUACAUUACCUAAAUUAAUUACAUUAACUAAAUCAGUAAGGACUUUCGCCCUCUUGUGGCGAAAGUAGGAACUGCCGAAAAUGCACAGUCAAAGAUGAUAAUUAUUCUGUCAAGCACAUUUUUUUUUAAUAGAGGCAAUUUAAGACAAAAGAAACGUGACACAUUGUGUCAAUUAUAACACAUUAGUGCAGGAUAUUAAGAUUGAUUAAAAUGCUGGAAGUGAACGCUGGAAUUAAACAAUUAACUAUGCAAAUAUGCAAAAGCAGUGUGCCUGGUCCAAAUAAGCACCUGUUGUGUUCAGUAAUUUAAGCAAAUAAACACCCGGGCUAUUAAUUGAAGUUUUAUGGUAUAUCACCUGUACACACAACUUGUUAAAUAGGUUCCUGUUUCAGUCAUGUCUUUGAACACGUUUGCAUGGGUAAAAAACAACAACAUCCAAAUGAUUGGUUGACCUAUGCAGGCGAUGGUUGCAUGAAGAACAACUGCAAAAACUUGCAGUCAAAACUUCAUAAGCACAAGUCAGACAAUUUGUACACCCAGAAUGCAACAGACUUUGGUCACCGACUUGACUAAUGUGAUCUGCUCGAACGCGCCCCCUUUCUCCGCACAUAGGCGUUCCGGAGCGCAUCACAUGAUUUGAGUCUUGUGACAAUCCAGACAGAAAGGGAAAACGAGUUCCGAGUUUACAACUGUUUUUUUUGUGUGCUCUAGAGUGAUUGGAGAGGUUCUUUUGACAAAAAAUGACAUAAUGAGGUGAUAAGAUGGCGACAUUUUAGACAUUUCCCUCUUUUUUAAAUAAGCAUCCUCCCUUUAGACUGAACAGUCCGCGAGUGUUUCGGGUGGUGCAGUCAGGGACAAAGUUGGCACAUGGAGAGAGGCGAUAACUUAAAUUUUUGCGCGUCGUGUUUUCUUAGUUUUUUUUUACCCAUCCGUGCUUGCAAAAGUCGUAUGACUCGAGGCAACACCGACUAAGUAAAUCCAAUUUGUGUGGGAAGAAGAGGGCCAGCCAAGGCAAAGAAAGAGAAAGAU